rnacentral:snoRNA from 1 species
AAUCCAUGGUGAGGGCAAUCACGUUCAUACUCCUUAAAAUGUUCCCAAGCUUCAUAGAAAGAUUCAGUUGGCCCUUGUUCAAAGGUUGAGAUCUUCGUUCUCAAAUU